GCCGGGGUGGCGGAACUGGUAGACGCCGGGGACUUAAAAUCCCCUGAGCUUCGAGCUCGUGCGGGUUCGAUUCCCGCCCCCGGCA
rnacentral:tRNA from 1 species